CAGUCGCCGCGGUAACACAGAGGGUGCAAGCGUUAAUCGGAAUUACUGGGCGUAAAGCGCGCGUAGGUGGUUCGCCAAGUUGGAUGUGAAAUCCCCGGGCUCAACCUGGGAACUGCAUCCAAAACUGGCGAGCUAGAGUAUGGUAGAGGGUGGUGGAAUUUCCUGUGUAGCGGUGAAAUGCGUAGAUAUAGGAAGGAACAUCAGUGGCGAAGGCGACCACCUGGACUGAUACUGACACUGAGGUGCGAAAGCGUGGGGAGCAAACAGGAUUAGAUACCCCAGUAGUCCCUGUCUCUUAUAC
rnacentral:rRNA from 1 species